AAGAAAAAAGGUGAGGUUAAUCUCUUCAAGUUGGGUUUAAUUUUUCCACUUGUUUUUGAGUGAUUAAGUAUGAUUUAUAUUAAAUUUUUAGGGUUGUAACUUGUAGAAUAAAAUGUCGAAUUUUAGGUGAUAUCUGUACGAAUUGGAGCUCAAGUUUGGGGAUUUCUUCAUUUCCAAUUUCAGCUAGGAGACCGUCGAUUUUGAGAUACUGGGAAAAGCCUGCUGAAGCAGAAGAUACCGUUUCAUAGUAUGUAAUGUAUAGUUGGGGAACUCAUGUUUAUUAAGUACUUGUCUAAUAUUUGGUGUGUCAUGCACUUUGUAGAAAGGUUGGUAAUUGAUGUAAUGAUUGCAUGUUGACAUGAUGAUAUUGUAGAAGCACUCAAUCGAAUUUUGUUAUAUUUUGUUGUAGAAGUGGUGGUUUCCAAAACUUUUGGUUUAAAUGUCUAUUUGAGGUUUUGAUGAUUUUUCA